rnacentral:lncRNA from 1 species
AACCACUCAGUAUGUGUCUACCAUUUCAUCAAACUUUCCAGUUUCAAAUAUUAAGAUACAAUGGUUUUUAUCUGCUCUCGUAUUUUGUUAGUACAAUUUGUUUUCCUUUAUUCACUCUUCUCUUUCACACUUACUACUUGUUUACCUUUAAUUCACCCAAAGUGUCAUGAAUAUGAAAGCCAUGCCUUGUUGCAAUUUAAGGAAGGUUUUCACAUUGAUAAGUUUGCCUCUGUGAAUCCUCUCGGUUAUCCUAAAACAGCAUCUUGGAAUUCCAGCACAGAUUGCUGCUCAUGGGAUGGCAUUCAAUGUGAUGACCACACAAAUCAAGUGAUUCAAAUUGAUCUUAGUAGCAGCCAACUCUAUGGUACAAUGGAUGCAAACAGCAGUCUCUUCCGCCUUGUACACCUUCGAAAGCUCGAUCUUUCAGAUAAUGACUUCAAAAACUCUCAAAUCCCAUCAAGGAUAGGUGAGCUUUCACAACUAGAAUAUCUGAAACUUCUUGAUACCAAUUUUUUUGGAGAAAUUCCACCACAAAUUUCACAGCUAUCCAAGUUGUUGUUUCUUGAACUUGGCGUCCCUGUUAUAGAAAACUCUAAAGGUAUGAUAGUCAGUCAGUUGAAUCUCAAAGUAUCCACUCUCAGAAGCUUAAUUCAAAACUCAACAAAACUUGAGACACUUGGACUUGGUUUAGUGACCAUGGCAUCCACUUUACCAGACUCACUCACAAAUCUAACUUCGUUGAAACGUCUAAUUUUUUCAAAAUGUGAAUUACAUGGUGAAUUUCCAUUAGGAGUAUUUCAUCUUCCAAACUUAAAAGUUCUGGAUUUGGGAUAUAAUCCAAAUCUCAAUGGUAGAUUGCCUGAGUUUCAGUCUAGUUCACUCACCAAGUUAGGACUUGAUGGCACUAGUUUCAAUGGUACACUGCCAGUAUCCAUUGGAAAGCUUAGUUCUUUAAACCUCCUAUCAAUUCGAGAUUGCAAUUUUUUUGGAUAUAUUCCAUCUUCGUUUUCCAAUUUGACACAGCUUAUGUACAUAGACCUUAUAAACAACAAAUUUAAGGGUGACCUUUCUGCAUCAAUAGCAAAUAUUACUAAACUAGAUCACUUGGGUGUUGGUUUCAAUGAAUUUACUGUUGAUACCAUUUCAUGGAUAGGAAAGCUCACAUCAUUAGUUGCCUUGGAUAUAUCCUCAGUCAAUAUUGGUACUGACAUCCCAUUAUCUUUUGCAAAUCUCACCCAACUUGAAGUAUUAAAUGCACAAAAUUGCAAUUUAAGAGGUGAAAUUCCAUCUUGGAUAAUGAAUCUAACAAAUUUAGUUUCCAUCAACGUAGCCUAUAAUUUUUUACAUGGAAAUGUGGAGCUUAACAAGUUUUUGAAGCUCAAAAGGCUAGUUUUCCUUAGUUUAUCAUUCAACAAACUGUUAUUGUAUAGUGGGAAAAGUUCUUCGCGUAUAACCGACUCUCGAAUUCAAGUCUUAUCAUUGGAUUCAUGCAAUUUAGUUGAGAUUCCACCAUUUAUAAGAGAUCUCAGUGAUGUGGAGUUUCUAUCAUUGUCUGAAAACAAUAUACAAUCGUUACCCAAUUGGUUGUGGAAAAAAGAGAGUCUACAAGACUUAAAAGUUUCCAACAAUUCAUUGACAGGAGCUAUUUCCCCAUCCAUAUGCAAUCUCAAAUCACUCCUAGGGCUUGAUUUAUCAUUAAACAACUUUAGCGGCAAUGUUCCCUCAUGUCUAGGGAACUUCAGCCAAUCUUUAGAAAAUCUUAUUCUACAAGGGAACAAAUUGUCUGGCCUCAUUCCUCAAACAUUCAAGAUCGGAAAUGCCCUUCAGCAGAUUGAUCUCAGCAACAACAAUCUGCAGGGUCAGUUGCCAAGAGAAUUGAUCAAUAAUAGAAGACUAGAGUACUUUGAUGUUAGUCAUAACAAUAUCAAUGAUUCAUUUCCAUUCUGGUUGGGAAACUUGCCUGAGUUGAAGGUAUUGGCUUUAAGUAAUAAUGAAUUUCAUGGAGAUAUUAGGUGCUCUGGCAACAUGACUUGCACAUUUCCCAAACUUCACAUCAUUGAUCUUUCUCAUAAUAAGUUCUCUGGAAGUUUUCCAUCAGAAAUGAUCCAAAGUUGGAAAGCAAUGAAAACUUCCAAUACAAGUGAAUUACAGUAUGAUCAAAGGUCACAAUUUGCAAAGACCUACAAAAAUGGAGACAGUGUGACAACAAAGAUUCCUUAUUUGUUCAUGAUGUCAAACAAAGGGAUGCUAAUGGUUUAUCAGAAUCUACAAGAGUUUUACAACAUGAUAGCGAUUGAUAUUUCAAGCAACAAAAUCAGUGGAGAGAUACCACAAGUCAUAGGUGACUUGAAGGGUCUUAUUUUGCUCAACCUGUCCAAUAACAUCCUUAAUGGCAGCAUUCCACUUUCCUUUGGGAAGCUUUCAAACCUUGAAGCACUGGAUCUUUCUUUCAACAAUCUUUCUGGAAAGAUUCCCCAACAGUUUGCACAACUUACUUUUUUGGAGUUCCUAAAUGUGUCCUUCAACGAUCUCUCAGGUCCUGUACCUCAGAAUAAGCAAUUCGCUACAUUCCAAGAUAAUUCAUUUGAGGGUAACCAAGGUUUGUGUGGAGAGCAAUUGUUGAAGAAGUGUAUAGAACACGGAGGGCCUUCUUUUUCUCCACCUUCUGCCUCUGAUGUUGACCAUGAAUCAGAAUCUUUGUUUGAACUUUACUGGAAUGUAAUUCUGAUUGGGUAUGUAGGUGGUCUUGUUGCCGGCGUGGUAUUAGGAAGCGCUUUCUACCCGGAUGUAGUUGGAUGGCUUAAAAGGUUCUUUUGAGUUGAAAACAAAAAGCCUCUCUUUCUCUUGUAUUUAUUGUUCUCAUCUGUUAUAGUUUAUUUUUAUUGUUGUGACUACUUAUAAUAAGUGUGUGCUUUGUAUGGUAUAGUUUUCAUUUGUUCUUGUGAUUGAUUGCCUCUAGUAACAAACAGUGUGCUUUGGACCACAUUUUGGUGUUUCAAUGAGGUUACCAAAAAGUAUGAUUGUUGUGGCUUAUUUGAAUUUGAAUUGUUAUAUAUUGUCUUCUUUUUGUGCUAAUUAUUUUUACUCUAACCAUGCAUCUGUGACUGUAUUAGAUUAUGCAAUAAGGAAAUAAUUAACAUCACAAUAUAUUUCUUGCUGCCACAACAUCUAAUAUCCAGCAUAUAAUUAAAUUAGCCAGCUAUUAUGAUCAAAUUAUGUGCCUUAAUUGUUGUUAUCAAUUUAAAACUUUUUUCUUAAUAACUUUAACAGAAGAUUCUAUUAAAGAAAAACAAAAAAGAUCAUGAAAUAACUGUCAUUGACAGUUUAUCCUCGAAUGGCAGAAAGAGGCAAACCGUAGACAGUGCUCAAAAACUACAAUUGAUCAACGUAAAGCUCAUAAUCUUUUGAAAUAUAGAAAAGAACUAAUCUUACAUUACUUUGUCAUUCAAGUUGGAUAACAUACUCACCUGAAUAACUCACUUGGCUCCUAACCCAUUACAAGUAAAAAACUGAGGCAGAAACACAUUUUCCAGUUUGCUGGUGAGCGCAAACCGGUUGGAAACAAUAAGUCCACAGCAGGAAAAGUUGCAAAGUUUAGAGGAAACCGAUCACAACACGGAACCAACUAUUGAAAGGGAAUGGAUUCUAUGAUGACCUUUAGUACUACUUAAGCAUCACAUUUAGGCCCUGCUAUUGCUGUCAUUUUUCGGGUUCUGCUGCACAUAAACUUAAUACCAAUCCUGCCACAUACUAUACACUUGUUUCCCCCGCUGUUCUGUGAUUAAUAUAUCAUUAUUCCACACCUAAUUAUUUCGAUUCUGCAACAGUAUCCACACCAUUACUGCCACCCGACCUGCUACCAGCUGGUCCUCGCACAUCUUCAUAUUUUCGAACAAAACUGUUGCAGCAGAUUGAAGAUUAUGAACAUGAUGCUGAACAACGCUCAACAAACCUGCGAUUUGCCAACAUUAUUUUCUCUAGAAACAAUUAAAGAAAACAUUAUGGAUUGACUUUAAUAGGGAAAACAAAAUUCAUCUAAGUCUUUUUCUCUUGAUAAGGCAUCACUAUAUGUUAUUUUUUUACUCACUAAUCACUAUAAAUCUAUAAAGAUAGAUAUUUUUCUUCCUAAUCCUUACAUAUUUUUAGGUGAUUAAUCUUGUUUCUAGAAGGAUCUAGAUGAAUCCAAUUAGAGGAGUUAUUGGUGGAUUUGUUAGGAUUGACCAAUGCUAUAAAUAAGAAACUGGUGAAUAUAUGUAAUCAUUCAAGCAAAAUUAAUGAAGUUGUUUGUUAGUAUAGUGUAGUGUUUUUAGCAAUAUUCUCCUCCAUUAAUGAACAACUAACAAGUUGUUCAUUACAAAACCAUAUAAUACAAGAAUAUGUUUUACUUUGUAAGGAUCCAAAAUUACACAAGGACAUAGGUUUAAAUUCUGUUGUCAAUAUGAAGAUUUCGGUGGAAGGUCUGUAUGCAUAUCCGAAACCUACCGAGCCAACUCACUUAAACUUUAUUAUCAAUAAAAAUGUAAAUUCCAUAAAUUUCUGAUGCAAAUACUACCAGUGAAUGUACAAAGCAUCAAAUAGACCUUGCAUCGUAUGGGCCUGUAACUACGACGAAAUUAGCUAUGAUUGCAUAAUUUUUAAUUUAAUUAAGGGACUAAACUUGUAUUGUAAGGAUCAAAUAGACCUUGUAUCGUAAGGAUCCAUAGUCGCACAACUACGACGAUUGCUGCUUCCUCUUGUGGGCCUAUGUUGGUCAAAUUGAUAUGUUAAUGAGAUGUUAAUGAUUUUUUAAAACAGAAAUUUUAAUGAAUUAAAAAUGAAAGAUAGCUAUGUCUUUAUUUUUUGUGCCAAUGUGUGUGUGAUUGUAUGAUUUCAUAUUUUUCAAGCAAGUGUUCUUUUUUCAAUUAGCCAAGACUUUUACAAUCUCUUAAUGCUGGUAUUUGUCAAGAGGAUAAGAUCAUAUUAUUUGGUCAUAGUUUGCAUUAUUUCUAUCACUCUAAUGAUUUGGACAGAAUCCACAUUGAAACUUUUGCAAUUGACAGAGUCAAGAUAUUAAAUUGGAUGAAGUUUCAUUAAAUGGUUAUCCAAUAAUAGAGCCAAAUGUCAAAGAUUAUGAAUGGACAGAAAAUUAAGUUUGUGGAUGACAAUGAAAAAAGCUUCAGUACAUGAUCAUGUUAUUUAUGAAGCUCUGACAUGGCUAUUAGAGGGCGAGUCCAUAUCCAAUGUUUUUUACAUUAGCGGUGUCCUCGUGUCCGUUUUGUGUCCCGUGUACGUGUCCAAGUCCAGGCUAUAAGAGCCAAUAUUCAAAUACCUUUCUUGAAUUUAAACACUAAAGGUCAAAAAGGUAUUUGAAUAUUGCCUCUUAUAGCGUAACACAAAAUAUAUGAUCAGGAAACAUAUUCAGGAGCUAGGCCCAUAUAUGUGUAAUCCAAACUGUUAAAAAGUCUCACAUCGAAUAUGAGAUUGCCUGACAAGUGUUUAUAAGCAAGUGGCAAUCCUCACCUUACAAGCCGGUUUUGUAAGGAUGAGUUAGGCCCAUACUUAUUUCUAAUACAAACCAAAAUGCACGGUCAAUUGACAAUCAGGUUCACUACAAAACAUUUUCAUUUGUAAUAAUCAGUCCACUGUUGUAGUAUAAGAACCACCUAGUAUGUGUCUAACAUUUCAUCAAACAUUUCAGUUUAAAAUAUUAAGAUACAAUGGUCUCUGUUUGGUCUCUUGUUUUGUUAGUACAGUUUCUUUUCCAUUAUUCACUCUUCUCUUUCACAUUCACAACAUGUUUUCCUUUAAUUCACCCAAAGUGUCAUGGUGAUGAAAGUCGUGCCUUGUUGCAAUUUAAGAAAGGCUUUCACAUUGAUAAGUCUGCCUCUUUGAAUCCUCUCAGUUAUCCUAAAACAGCAUCUUGGAAUUCCAGCAUAGAUUGUUGCUCAUGGGAUGGCAUUCAAUGUGAUGAGCACACAAAUCAAGUGAUUCACAUUGAUCUUAGAAGUUGCCAACUCUAUGGUAGAAUGGAUGCAAACAGCAGUCUCUUCCGCCUUGUACACCUUCGAGUUCUUGAUCUUUCUGAUAAUGACUUCAAUUACUCUCAAAUUCCGUCCAAAAUAGGUGAGCUUUCACAACUUAGAUAUUUGAACCUUUCUCUUGGCAUAUUUUCUGGAGAAAUUCCACCACGAAUUUCACAGUUGUCCAAAUUGUUGUAUCUUGAUCUAGGCGUCAAUAUUACAUCAUAUUCUAGCUCAGUCAAUCUGUUGCAACUGAAAUUGUCCAGUCUCAGAAGCAUAAUUCAAAACUCAACAAAACUUGAAUCACUUGAACUUAGUUUUGUUACUAUUUCAUCUACUUUACCUGAGACACUCACAAAUCUUACCUCAUUGCAAGUUUUGAGUUUUCAAAAUUCGGACUUAUAUGGUGAAUAUCCAAUUGGAGUAUUUCAUCUUCCAAACUUGAAAAUUUUGAAUUUGAGAUAUAAUCCAAAUCUCAAUGGUAGGUUGCCUGAGUUUCAUUCAAGUUCACUCACCAUAUUAGCACUUGAUGAAACAGGUUUUUAUGGCACAUUACCAGUUUCCAUUGGAAAUCUUAGUUCCUUAUAUGCACUGACAAUUCCAAAUUGCCAUUUUUUUGGUUAUAUUCCUUCUUCGAUUGGCAACCUCACACAACUCAAGAAGAUAAACUUUCGAUAUAACAAAUUUAGGGGAGACCUUUCUACAUCCCUGGCAAAUCUUGCGAACCUAAGCUUCUUGUAUGUUGGUUUCAAUGAAUUUACUAUUGAGAACAUCUCAUGGAUAGGUAAGUUUUCAUCAUUAAUUGGCUUGGAUAUAUCCUCAAUCAAUAUUGGCAGUGGCACUGACAUCCCAUUAUCUUUUGCAAAUCUCACCCAGCUAGAAGUAUUAAGUGCAGAUAAUAGCAAUAUAACGGGUGAAAUUCCAUCUUGGAUAAUGAACCUAACAAAUUUAAUUUUCUUGAACCUACCCUAUAACUUGUUGCAUGGAAAGCUAGAGCUUGACACAUUUAUGAAGCUCAGAAAGCUAGUUUUUCUUGAUUUAUCAUUCAACAAAUUAUCAUUUGGGAAACGUUCUUCCAAGAUGAUUGAUUCUCGCAUUCAAGUCUUAGGUUUGAAAUCAUGCAAUUUAGUUGAGAUUCCAGCAUUUAUCAAAGAUCUUGGUGAUCUGGGAUAUCUUUUGUUGUCAAACAACAAUAUAACAUAUCUACCCAAUUGGUUGCGGAGAAAAGCAAGUCUACAAAUCUUAAUUGUUUCCCACAAUUCAUUGAUAGGAGAAAUAUCCCCAUCCAUAUGCAAUCUCAAAUCACUCGUGCAUGUUGAUUUAUCGUUCAACAAUUUAAGCGGCAAUAUUCCCUCCUGUUUGGGGAACUUUAGCCAAUCUUUAGAUACUCUGAUGCUAAAAGGGAACAAACUGUCUGGCCUCAUUCCUCAAACAUACAUGAUAGGAAAUUCCCUUCUUCAGAUUGAUCUCAGCAACAACAAUCUGCAGGGUCAGUUGCCAAGGGCAUUGGUCACCUGCAGAAGGCUGGAGUACUUUGAUGUUAGUCAUAACAAUAUCAAUGAUUCCUUUCCAUUCUGGCUGGGAGACUUACCUGAGUUGAAGGUAUUGGGUUUAAGUAACAAUGAAUUUCAUGGAGACAUUAGGUGCUCUGGAAAAAUUAAAUGCACAUUUCCCAAGCUUCACAUUAUUGAUCUUUCUCACAAUGAAUUCUCUGGCAAUUUUCCAUCAGAAAUGAUCCAAAGUUGGAAAGCAAUGAAAACUUCUAACACAAGUCAAUUACAGUACGAGCAAAAAUUAGUUAUAUCAGGGUUCUACAAGCCAGGACAAUUGUCCGCAACCGUAGACAAGUCUUACUCGUUCACAAUGUCAAACAAAGGGCUGGUGAUGGUCUAUGAGAAGCUUCAAGAGUUUUAUAGCUUGAUAGCCAUUGAUAUUUCUAGCAACAAAAUCAGUG